UACAGAGGUCUCAACCGUUGUUCGGAUUCAUUGGGCGUAAAGGGUGCGUAGGCGGUCGCGCAAGUCGGAUGUGAAAUCUCCGAGCUUAACUCGGAAACUGCCGUUGAUACUAUUUGUCUUGAAUAUUGUGGAGGUAAGCGGAAUAUGUCAUGUAGCGGUGAAAUGCUUAGAUAUGACAUAGAACACCAAUUGCGAAGGCAGCUUACUACACAACGAUUGACGCUGAGGCACGAAAGCGUGGGGAUCAAACAGG
rnacentral:rRNA from 1 species